UACGUAGGGUGCGAGCGUUUAAUCGGAAUACUGGGCGUAAAGCGUGCGCAGGCGGUUCGUUAAGACAGAUGUGAAAUCCCCGGGCUUAACCUGGGAACUGCAUUUGUGACUGGCGAGCUAGAGUAUGGCAGAGGGGGGUAGAAUUCCACGUGUAGCAGUGAAAUGCGUAGAGAUGUGGAGGAAUACCGAUGGCGAAGGCAGCCCCCUGGGCCAAUACUGACGCUCAUGCACGAAAGCGUGGGGAGCAAACAGG
rnacentral:rRNA from 1 species